rnacentral:rRNA from 1 species
AGUGAACGCUGGCGGUAGGCCUAACACAUGCGAGUCGAACGGCAGCACAGUAAGAGCUUGCUCUUACGGGUGGCGAGUGGCGGACGGGUGAGGAAUACAUCGGAAUCUACUUUUUCGUGGGGGAUAACGUAGGGAAACUUACGCUAAUACCGUAUACGACCUACGGGUGAAAGCAGGGGAUCUUCGGACCUUGCGCGAUUGAAUGAGCCGAUGUCGGAUUAGCUAGUUGGCGGGGUAAAGGCCCACCAAGGCGACGAUCCGUAGCUGGUCUGAGAGGAUGAUCAGCCACACUGGAACUGAGACACGGUCCAGACUCCUACGGGAGGCAGCAGUGGGGAAUAUUGGACAAUGGGCGCAAGCCUGAUCCAGCCAUACCGCGUGGGUGAAGAAGGCCUUCGGGUUGUAAAGCCCUUUUGUUGGGAAAGAAAAGCAGCAGGUUAAUACCCCGCUGUUCUGACGGUACCCAAAGAAUAAGCACCGGCUAACUUCGUG